CGAAAAGGGAGGUAUUGUAAGCAUCACGCACUCGGGAGAUUGUCAGUAUAGUCUGAGGGGUUUUAGGUGAUACAGAGACUUAUAGGGUCUUGAAAUCUGAUGAAACUAAUUCGUUCCUCUUAUGUUUUAAGGAAAUCUUGGAGAAAGACCGCAGUGAAGGGCUGCUACCGGGGGAUGAGUAUGAGUUCACUCUAAAUUGUCACCCCAGGAUAGCAACAUUUACUGCUUGUCAAAAAGCCAUAAAAACCUGACUAAUCCUCCUUGCUGUCCUAUCGUGUCUUCAAUUGAUAAUUUAACACGCAAUGGAAGUAUAUAUGUUGAUAAAAUCUUGAGGUCCUUUGUGGAGUCUCUAUCAUCCUACAUUCAGGACAUGAAACAGGCGCUGACUUUCCUCUCUGACCUAAAGGUACUAAAAUCAGCGAGUCUACAUAAUAUGGAUGUUAAGUCUCUAUAUUCCUCCAUCCCUCAUGAUAGAGGAAU